rfam:Ictidomys tridecemlineatus contig070526, whole genome shotgun sequence.
UGGGUUGUAGCUCGGUGGUGGAGCGCUUGCCUCAAACGUGUGGAGCCCUGGGUUCGAUCCUCAGCACCACAU